CCUACGGGCGGCUGCAGUGGGGAGUAUUGCACAAUGGGCGCAAGCCUGAUGCAGCCAUGCCGCGUGUGUGAAGAAGGCCUUCGGGUUGUAAAGCACUUUCAGCGGGGAGGAAGGCGUUAAGGUUAAUAACCUUGGCGAUUGACGUUACCCGCAGAAGAAGCACCGGCUAACUCCGUGCCAGCAGCCGCGGUAAUACGGAGGGUGCAAGCGUUAAUCGGAAUUACUGGGCGUAAAGCGCACGCAGGCGGUCUGUCAAGUCGGAUGUGAAAUCCCCGGACUCAACCUGGGAACUGCAUUCGAAACUGGCAGGCUAGAGUCUUGUAGAGGGGGGUAGAAUUCCAGGUGUAGCGGUGAAAUGCGUAGAGAUCUGGAGGAAUACCGGUGGCGAAGGCGGCCCCCUGGACAAAGACUGACGCUCAGGUGCGAAAGCGUGGGGAGCAAACAGGAUUAGAUACCCCAGUAGUC
rnacentral:rRNA from 1 species